rnacentral:rRNA from 1 species
GUUCCCCUACGGGGGGCAGCAGUGGGGGAUAUUGCACAAUGGGGGAAACCCUGAUGCAGCAACGCCGCGUGAGUGAAGAAGGUCUUCGGAUUGUAAAGCUCUGUUCUUGGUGAAGAUAAUGACGGUACCUGACCAAGAAGCCCCGGCUAACUACGUGCCAGCAGCCGCGGUAAUACGUAGGGGGCAAGCGUUAUCCGGAUUUACUGGGUGUAAAGGGGGCGCAGACGGCAAUGCAAGCCAGGAGUGAAAGCCCGGGGCCCAACCCCGGGACUGCUCUUGGAACUGCAUGGCUGGAGUACGGGAGG